rnacentral:rRNA from 1 species
GAUGAACGCUGGCGGCGUGCCUAAUACAUGCAAGUCGAGCGAACGGACGAGAAGCUUGCUUCUCUGAUGUUAGCGGCGGACGGGUGAGUAACACGUGGUUAACCUACCUAUAAGACUGGGAUAACUUCGGGAAACCGUAGCUAAUACCGGAUAAUAUUUUGAACCGCAUGGUUCAAAAGUGAAAGACGGUCUUGCUGUCACUUAUAGAUGGAUCCGCGCUGCAUUAGCUAGUUGGUAAGGUAACGGCUUACCAAGGCAGCGAUGCAUAGCCGACCUGAGAGGGUGAUCGGCCACACUGGAACUGAGACACGGUCCAGACUCCUACGGGAGGCAGCAGUAGGGAAUCUUCCGCAAUGGGCGAAAGCCUGACGGAGCAACGCCGCGUGAGUGAUGAAGGUCUUCGGAUCGUAAAACUCUGUUAUUAGGGAAGAACAUAUGUGUAAGUAACUGUGCACAUCUUGACGGUACCUAAUCAGAAAGCCACGGCUAACUACGUG